rnacentral:tRNA from 1 species
AUUAGGUUGGCAGAAUUAUGUGACUGACUUAGGAUCAGUAGAAAUAGGUGAAAACCCUUUACCUACUA